UGCCCCCCUCAACUUCAUCUCUACCAGUCUUCCACUCUCAAGCUCAAAGGCCAUGACUGCAGGUCGCAAUCCAGCGAGGACUGCUGCCGUAUAAAGGGAGACUCUCUCUCUCUCUCUCUCUCUCUCUCUCUCUCUCUCUCUCUCGCUAAAAUCUCUAUCUUUCGCAUGUUGGGAUGCAUGUUUUUGCUCAAGACCGCGCAACGCUUCCAUAUGACACCGCAUCGUCGUGCCGGCCUAUCCAUAUAUCCAUAUUCAUCAGUAAUAUAUAGAAUCGGUCGAGCGACAAGAAGAAGAAGAAGAAGAAGAAGAAGAAGCAGAAGAAGAGGAUAGGCCUGAACGUCGAUGCGCUGAUUAUGGUUAAGCUGUGCGGUCUUGCGCAAGAUCAUGCAUGACCCUCACUCCCUCUUCCCGUAUCAUCAUCUCAUCAUAUGAAGAUUUGGUGCACAUAUAGAUAACAUAGUUUUUAAAGUGACACAUGUAGCGCCUCCCCUAACCUUGACUCUCUUUAUGUUUAACUUCCUCUCCGAACAGAUCGAGUUCAAACAGAUCUAAAUUAAGCCAAUUGUGCUCUAAGCAGUACUCGCGCGGCGCAAAACCAACAUCUCAAAUGAAAUAUUCAGUUAAUUUGCACCGGAGAAUAUUACAGACAAGAAAAGCUCCUCCCCUCGGGGGGGUGGAGAGGACUGGACAAGUCUGCAAUCCGACAAACCCAUAUCUCCGCCCGCCUUCCCACCACCCAUCAACUCCGCGAAGAAUUUGGCAAUCUUCUUCCAUGUGCAGUUCGGCGUAGAUUCCGAACGACACAUCAGCGCUCCUUUUCUUGUUUCUCUCCAUUUCAAUUGCCGGAAUUGCUUAACAAUCA